rnacentral:lncRNA from 1 species
AGGGGCCAAGCUGCAAACUAUUUUUACUGGGAGAUCAUUCAUAGGAUAUUUCAAGAUAUUGAGAUAAGAAUUCAAGGGAAAAGAGUCCCAGUGCCUCAAAGUAGUAUACUUCUGAAAUUGAUAUCCAACAUUAGUGUUGUGAAUAUUAAGGUAGAUUUUCUAACUUAGUGUUGUGAAUAUUAAGGUAGAUUUUCUAUACCUAAAAGUUAACAAGCUAAAGGACAAAGUAGCUAAAUUGGAACAGUCUAUGCAUGAUGAUAUUAAGUUGACUAUUGU